GGGAUCUUAGUUCCCUGACCAGGGAUCGAGAGCGCCAAGUCCUAACCACUGGACCUCCAGGGAAUACCCCUCCAUUUUGCAUUUCCGUAAGCAGUGAAUGAGAGUUCCUGUUGCUCCACAUUCUUGUCAGCAUUUGCUGUUGUCAGUGUUUUGGAUUUUGCCCAUUCUAAUAGGAGUGAAGAAAGCUCUGGAGGGAACGUGGAACAGUGAAAGAAGAGAAAAGCUUUACCUUGAUAGAAUCAGGACCACCAACGGACCUUUUCUGUCUCUAGCUUGGAACCUGGGAUCAGAAAGGAACAUUCACCUUCUGCACUUCGUCUUUUCUCCUUCACAUGUUCUUGAGCUGCACAGAUAACCUGCCUUACCACUUCAAGAGAAGCCAGCUGAAUGGAAGGUGACUCUCGGGUCAAAAUUACUCGAUGUAGUACAUUCAACAACUCGAUACCCAAGUCCUAUCACAGAAAACAGGAAGCUGGGAGGCAAAUUCUGAAGGCAAAGUUAGGAGAGCAAAAUCCUGAAGCGCAGCAAGCCAGAGCCUACUUAAUGUGCCAAGAUCUGCGUGGACUAAGUCAAGCAGCCCAUCUGAUGAAAUCGACCCGUUUCCGACACUUUCUUCUGAAAAGGUCGUCUUCAAAGUGACGUCAGGUGGCGUCUCUGAGGUGAAGGCUGGUCUAAGUGCCGCUCCUACCUGGCAAGAAAUUACAGGCUCAUUCAAGCAUCAAAAAAUGUGAUGGAGCCUGCUGACCAACUGGGGAACUGCUCUAGAUUCCCUAACUGCCAGCCAUCAGAAGCUGCCUUUGAAUCAUGAGAGCAGCACAACGAACGGCCAUGGAUCUAUCUGUCAAGCAGGAUCUAGCAGCUUUAUAAACAUCCCUGUGGCAAGGGGUAGCAGCAGCUCCCAGUCCACUCAAUAUGUUUUGCAGACUCAGCAUGAUCUCAUAUCGACCUUGUGACUAUCGAAGAGGAAAAAAAUUUAAAGAAGAGGAAAAAAAAAUACGCUGUGAAAAACAGUAUUAAGCAUUGAAAUUUAUCUCACAUUAGAGACAUACUCAGAUUUUUGUACACACUAACCAACCUAUUCUGACAUCAAGACACAUGAAUAAUUGCUAUUUCAUGCAGUGUUUACUAUUUUAAAAGUGUUACUUGUAUAUAUUACACUUCAACAUAAUACACAUUUCAUAGGGUUGAUGUGCAGAUUAAAUGAAAUUAUAUGGGAAGCGCCAGGCAUAAGGCUUGCAUGUGGUCAAGCAUUCAAUAAAUGGUUGCUAUAAAUGAGGUAACAUGGUAAGAGUGCAUGGUCUGCCACCUACUAGCUAUAUGUCUCUGGGUAAAUCUGUUUCUUUAUCUGUUAAAUGGUUGUUGUGAGGAUCAAACGAGUUACUACAUGUCAAGUGCUUAGAACAGUGCCUGACACACAGUAAAUGUUCAGUUGAGUUCAUAGCUAUUGAUAUUUUAUCAUUUACUGGUUCGAGUAUUUUAACUCAGAGGUUAAAAGUCUGGGUUUAGAUUUUAAAAGACCUGGGUUUGAAUCUUGGCUCUGAACCUUAGUAGCUGUGUGACUUUAAGUUGUUCUUACUUAUUUCUUCAUCUAUAAAAUGAGGAUAAGGGACCUCUCCAGCGGUCCAGUGGUUAAGACUCUGCGCUUCCACUGAAGGGGGCAUGGGUUCGAUGCCUGGUCGGGGAACCAAGAUCCCACAUACCACACAGCGUGGCCAAAAAAAAGAAAUGAAAAAAUGAAACGAGGAUAAGAUGAACCCCACUGAGCCAGUGUGGGAAGUAAACAAGCCCCUGUGGGGAAAUCAUUCACCACAGUGCCUGGACUUAGUAAACACUCAAGAAAUAGUAGCUGCUUGCAUUAUGAUGUUUUACUAAAUGUUCCAAAUGCUUUCUAUGUCUCAGGAAGUUAAGGCCACUAUAGGUAAGUUAAAGUUGGAGAAAGAUCAAGUAUCAUUUUCAUAGUAAUGUUAUUAAUUUAUUUUUGUUCAAAGGAGCAUGAUAGUGAGUAAUUAUAGGUGGACAUUAACAAAAUGAGUCCUAACGGGAAACUUCUUAGCUUUCUUUUACGCCAAUUUCAAAUGCUAUUUAUCAAAGGUGGAAAUCCCUUUUGACAUCUCCAAAUCGUUGUGGUACUGAAUCAACUAAAUCAUAAAGGUAAAAAGUGGAGGAGCAAUAAACUACUUAGCAAUAACUCUAAAUUUUCUUUUUUUAAAUAUUAAUUUAUUUAUUUGGUUGCACCAGGUCUUAGUUGUGGCAGGCAGGCUCCUUAGUUGUGACGUGCGAACUCUUAGUUGCGGCAUGCAUGUGGGAUCUAGUUCCCUGACCAGGGAUCGAACCCAGGCCCCCUGCAUUGGGAGCAUGGAAUCUUAUCCACUGUGCCACCAGGGAAGUCCCUAACUUAAAAUUUUCUGAAACCUAUAGAGUAAUCCUCUGUUAACCAUGAGGCCUAAAAAGUAUAGCUUAAUCAAUGGAGUUGAGAAAAAAAAAAGUUUAAAGUGGCCAUACCUCAGUAAAUAAAAGUUCUUACAGACACAUCCUUUUAAAUAAAACCAGAUUUAUGGAUGUUAACAAUCUCUCCUCCUGGUUUGUUGUUAAUCUCCACAUAACUGAGAAUUUUCCAGCCUUCCUGCUGUUAUUGGCGCCUAGUUUCAUAUCAUUGCAGGUGGGAAAGAUACUUCAUGUGAUUUCAGUCUUCUUAAACUUGCCCAGACCUGUUUGGGACCUAAUAUGUGAUCUACCCUGGUGAAUGCUCUGUGCCCUAGAAGAGAGGUAUGUUUUGCUGCUGUUGGGUGGAAUGAUCAAGUUAUGACCAUUAGGUCCAACUGGUCUAAUGUGUAGUUCACUCCAAGGUUUCCAUGUUGAUUUCUGUCUGGGUGAUCUGUCCAUUGAUGAAAAGGGGGGGGGAACUGCAGUCCCCACUAUGAUUGUAUUGCUGUGUAUUUCUCUCUUUAGGUCUGUCAAUAUUUGCUUUAUAAUUUAGAUGCUCUGAGGGGUGUAUAAAUAUUUACAUUGUUAUAACUAUUUUAAAUAGUGAUUAUUGUAGCCAUCAUGCUACACAUCCCUAACAGGUUACAUUCUAAUUAAACCUACUAUUUACCACUUCAUAGUGGCAAGACCCUUAAAACAGUAUAAUUCCAUAUACCUUCUCAUAUGCUUUAUGUUGCUGUUUUUAUAUAUUCUAGUUCUAUAUAUGUUAAAACCCACAAUGCCUUCCAUUUCUUUGUCUUCAUCAUGAGCUUUCUCUUACAUAAAUUAAGAAUUAAAGUAUAGCCUAUACCUGUGUCCACAUGUUACCAUUUAUGGUGCUCAGUAUCAUUUUGUAAAUCUGUUCACCUCCAGCAUCGGUGCCUUCAGAGCAGAAAGAUUUCCUUUUCCUUUCACCACCAAAAGACCUGCUACUGAUAAAUUAUCUCAACUUCUAUCCAUCUUAAAAUAUCUGAAUUUUCUCAGAUUUUU